AUCGCUUCUCGGCCUUUUGGCUAAGAUCAAGUGUAGUAUCAGUUUAAUAUCUGAUGUGUCCUCUAUAUGGGGAUUAAAUAUUAAAUGCAUUUUUGAGCAUUGAGAGGUGAAAACUGGGGCUUGCUCUCUUCACUCCUUGCAUUGACCUGGUAUUGCAGUGCCACCAGGAACGGUGCACCAUUC